rnacentral:rRNA from 1 species
AAUUUUCCACAAUGGGGGCAACCCUGAUGGAGCAACGCCGCGUGCAGGAUGAAGGCCCUAGGGUCGUAAACUGCUUUUAUAUGUGAAGACAUCGACGGUAGCAUAUGAAUAAGGAUCGGCUAACUCCGUGCCAGCAGCCGCGGUCAUACGGGGGAUCCAAGCGUUAUCCGGAAUUACUGGGCGUAAAGAGUUGCGUAGGCGGUUAAGUAAGCAAAUAGUGAAAGCGUCCCGCUCAACGGGAUAUACAUUAUUUGAACUACUUUGACUAGAGGAUGAGAGAGGUAGCUGGAAUUCCCUGUGUAGGAGUGAAAUCCGUAGAUAUAGGGAGGAACACCGAUGGCGUAAGCAGGCUACUGGCUCAUUCCUGACACUCAGGCACGAAAGCGUGGGGAGCGACC